AAAAAAUGAACUAAGAGGGGCUGGGGUUGUGGCUCAGCGGUAGAGCGCUCGCCUAGUACAUCCGAGGCCCUGGGUUCAAUCCUCAGCACCACAUAAAAAUAAAAUAAAGAUAUUGUGUCCAACUACAACUAAUAAAUAAAUGUUUUUUAAAAAAUUAACUAAGGGCUGGGGCUGGGGCUCAGCUGUGGAGCAUUUGGGUUUGAUCCUCAGCAUCACAUAAAAAUAAAAAGGUAAAAAAUAUUAUUAAAAAAAAAGAAAUAGAAGAAAAACAGAAAUAUAACAAACCUAAAAGCACAAAAAGAAGAAAAUAAUAGCCAAAAUGAAGGGAAUGGAAAACUAAUCUUCAAUAAGAAUCAUUAAAAUAAUAAGUUGGUUAUUUAGAAAAAUGAAUGAAAUUGAAAAGCUUCUUGGGAGGGUGUUCAAAAUGGAAAGAAGGUGGCAGUGAUCUCAGCUGCUGAGGCAGGGGGAUUGCAAGUGUGAGGUCAGCAUCAGCAACUUAGCAAGACCCAGACUUAAAAUAAAAAGGGCUGGAGAUUUAGCUCAGAUCUGAAAAGAGAUCACUACCACUAUAGAUUUAAAGACAUUAAAAGGCUGGGGUGUGACUCAGGGGUAGAGCAUGUGUUUAGCAUGCAAGAGGCCCUGGGUUCUAUCCCCAUUAAAAUGAUCCAAGCGAGGUCCUGGAAACCUUCAGGGACACUAGUCCACAGGGCAAAGACUCUACUGCCUUAGCUCCAUACCCACCCACAGACGGUAGACACCAAACAACAUGAAGAGCAAGGGAAAAAUCGCCCCCAACAAACCAAGAUUCUCCAAUAACAGAAUCCAUCAGCACCAUAGUGGAAGGUAUGUCAGAGAAGGAGUUCAGAACGUGCCUGGUUAAACUGACCUGCGAAGUGGAGGAGGUGUAAGGAGAGGAAAUACGGGAGGUGAAAGGUCACUUUAGUAAAGAAGCAGAGAUUCUGAAAGAAAGAAAAAAAAAAAAAGAAAACAAGCAGAAAUCCUUGAGAUGAAGGAAACAAUAAGCCAAAUAAAAAAUUCAAUAGAAAGCACCACCAACAGACUAGAUGACUUGCAGAUAGAACCUCAGGCAAUGAAGACAAAAUAUAUCAUCUUGAAAACAGAGUUUACCAUGGAGAGAUGUUAAAAAACCAUGAACAGAAGUUCCAAGAAUUAUGGGAUAACAUGAAAACUUAAGAUUUAUUGGGGACUGGGAAUAUAGCUCAGUUGGUAGAGUGCUUGCCUUGUAUGCACAAGGCCCUGGGUUCAAUCCCCAGCACCACCAAAAAACCAAAAUUAAAAUAUUGGGCUGGGGGAUGUGGCUCAAGCGGUAGUGUGCUCGCCUGGCAUGCGUGCGGCCCGGGUUCGAUCCUCAGCACCACAUACAAACAAAGAUGUUGUGUCCGCCGAGAACUAAAAAAUAAAUAAAUAAAUAUUAAAAU
rnacentral:lncRNA from 1 species